rnacentral:rRNA from 1 species
GACGAACGCUGGCGGCGUGCUUAACACAUGCAAGUCGAACGGAAAGGCCCUGCUUUUGUGGGGUGCUCGAGUGGCGAACGGGUGAGUAACACGUGAGUAACCUGCCCUUGACUUUGGGAUAACUUCAGGAAACUGGGGCUAAUACCGGAUAGGAGCUCCUGCUGCAUGGUGGGGGUUGGAAAGUUUCGGCGGUUGGGGAUGGACUCGCGGCUUAUCAGCUUGUUGGUGGGGUAGUGGCUUACCAAGUCUUUUACGGGUAGCCGGCCUGAGAGGGUGACCGGCCACAUUGGGACUGAGAUACGGACCAGACUCCUACGGGAGGCAGCAGUGGGGAAUAUUGCACAAUGGGCGGAAGCCUGAUGCAGCAACGCCGCGUGCGGGAUGACGGCCUUCGGGUUGUAAACCGCUUUCGCCUGUGACGAAGCGUGAGUGACGGUAAUGGGUAAAGAAGCACCGGCUAACUACGUG